GACGAACGCUGGCGGCGUGCUUAACACUUGCAAGUCGAGCGGAAAGGCCACUUCGGUGGUACUCGAGCGGCGAACGGGUGAGUAACACGUGAGUAAUCUGCCCCUGGCUUUGGGAUAACCACCGGAAACGGUGAUUAAUACCGGAUGCGACCACUUCUCGCAUGGGAUGGUGGUGGAAAGUUUUUUCGGCCAGGGAUGUGCUCGCGGCCUAUCAGCUUGAUGGUGAGGUAAUGGCUCACCAUGGCUUCGACGGGUAGCCGGCCUGAGAGGGUGACCGGUCACACUGGGACUGAGACACGGCCCAGACUCCUACGGGAGGCAGCAGUGGGGAAUAUUGGACAAUGGGCGGAGGCCUGAUCCAGCAACGCCGCGUGAGGGAUGACGGCCUUCGGGUUGUAAACCUCUUUCAGCAGGGACGAAGCGCAAGUGACGGUACCUGCAGAAGAAGCACCGGCCAACUACGUGCCAGCCGCCGCGGUAA
rnacentral:rRNA from 1 species